rnacentral:rRNA from 1 species
UAUUAGAGUCUAUGGCCAUGAACAAGCCCAAUCCGGUCUGGUCUUGGAAGCUAAGCAGGGUCAGGCCUGGUUAGUACUUGGAUGGGAGACCACCUAGGAAGACCAGGUGCUGUAGGUG